rnacentral:rRNA from 1 species
UACGUAGGGGACAAGCGUUGUCCGGAAUUACUGGGCGUAAAGCGCACGCAGGCUGACUUAUAAGUCGGUAGUCUAAUGCGGAGGCUCAACUUCCGUUUAUCUAUCGAUACUGUAAGACUAGAGUAUGUGAGAGGGAAGUGGAAUUCCCGGUGUAGCGGUGAAAUGCGUAGAUAUUGCACGGAACACCAAUUGCGAAGGCAGCUUACUGGACCAUUACUGACGCUCAGGCACGAAAGCGUGGGGAUCAAACAGGAUUAGAUACCCCGGUA